UGAGUAACCUGCCCUUAACUCUGGGAUAAGCCUGGGAAACUGGGUCUAAUACCGGAUACUCCGGCUGGAUCGCAUGGUCCGGCCGGGAAAGGUCCGCCGGAGAGGGAUGGGCCCGCGGCCUAUCAGCUUGUUGGUGGGGUCAUGGCUCACCAAGGCGACGACGGGUAGCUGGUCUGAGAGGAUGGCCAGCCACAUUGGGACUGAGACACGGCCCAGACUCCGUACGGGAGGCAG
rnacentral:rRNA from 1 species